rnacentral:rRNA from 1 species
CACAGCUCUCUGCUAAAUCGAAAGAUGACGUAUAGGGGGUGACGCCUGCCCGGUGCUGGAAGGUUAAGGGGAGUGCUUAGGCGCAAGCCGAAGGUGCGAACUUAAGCCCCAGUAAACGGCGGCCGUAACUAUAACGGUCCUAAGGUAGCGAAAUUCCUUGUCAGGUAAGUUCUGACCCGCACGAAUGGCGUAACGAUUUGGGCACUGUCUCAACAGCCCGCCCGGCGAAAUUGUAGUACCGGUGAAGAUGCCGGUUUCCCGCAACUAGACGGAAAGACCCCAUGGAGCUUCACUGUAGCUUGAUAUUGGAUCUCGGUAUUCCAUGUACAGGAUAGGUGGGAGGCUAGGAAGCAAGUGCGCCAGCAUUUGUGGAGCCAACCUUGGGAUACCACUCUUGGGGUAUUGGGAUUCUAACCUGCGCCCAUGAAUCUGGGCGGGGGACACUGUCAGGUGGGCAGUUUGACUGGGGCGGUCGCCUCCAAAAGAGUAACGGAGGCGCUCAAAGGUUCGUUCAGCACGGACGGAAAUCGUGCGGUGAGUGUAAACGCAGAAACGAGCCUAACUGCGAGAAUGACGGUUCGAGCAGUAACGAAAGUUGGAGUUAGUGAUCCGGCGGUAUGUGAAUGGAAAUGCCGUCGCUCAACGGAUAAAAGCUACCCUGGGGAUAACAGGCUGAUCUCCCCCAAGAGUCCACAUCGACGGGGAGGUUUGGCACCUCGAUGUCGGCUCAUCGCAUCCUGGGGCUGAAUUCGGUCCCAAGGGUUUGGCUGUUCGCCAAUUAAAGCGGUACGCGAGCUGGGUUCAGAACGUCGUGAGACAGUUCGGUCCCUAUCUGUUGCGGGCGCAGGAAUAUUGAAAGGAGCUGUCCUUAGUACGAGAGGACCGGGAUGGACGUACCGCUGGUGCACCAGUUGUUCCGCCAGGGGCAUAGCUGGGUAGCUAAGUACGGACGAGAUAAACGCUGAAGGCAUCUAAGCGUGAAACUCCCCUUAAGAUCAGUAUUCCCAUCCUUCGGGAGUAAGGCCCCAUGUAGACUACAUGGUUGAUAGGUCAGAAGUGGAAGU